AGAGUUUGAUCCUGGCUCAGAUUGAACGCUGGCGGCAUGCCUUACACAUGCAAGUCGAACGGCAGCACGGGAGCAAUCCUGGUGGCGAGUGGCGAACGGGUGAGUAAUACAUCGGAACGUGUCCUGGAGUGGGGGAUAGCCCGGCGAAAGCCGGAUUAAUACCGCAUACGCUCUGCGGAGGAAAGCGGGGGAUCUUUCGGGACCUCGCGCUCAAGGGGCGGCCGAUGGCAGAUUAGGUAGUUGGUGGGGUAAAGGCCUACCAAGCCGACGAUCUGUAGCUGGUCUGAGAGGACGACCAGCCACACUGGGACUGAGACACGGCCCAGACUCCUACGGGAGGCAGCAGUGGGGAAUUUUGGACAAUGGGCGCAAGCCUGAUCCAGCAAUGCCGCGUGUGUGAAGAAGGCCUUCGGGUUGUAAAGCACUUUUGUCCGGAAAGAAAACCUCUGGGUUAAUACCCUUGGGGGCUGACGGUACCGGAAGAAUAAGCACCGGCUAACUACGUGCCAGCAGCCGCGGUAAUACGUAGGGUGCGAGCGUUAAUCGGAAUUACUGGGCGUAAAGCGUGCGCAGGCGGUGAUGUAAGACCGAUGUGAAAUCCCCGGGCUUAACCUGGGAACUGCAUUGGUGACUGCAUCGCUCGAGUAUGGCAGAGGGGGGUAGAAUUCCACGUGUAGCAGUGAAAUGCGUAGAGAUGUGGAGGAAUACCGAUGGCGAAGGCAGCCCCCUGGGUCAAUACUGACGCUCAUGCACGAAAGCGUGGGGAGCAAACAGGAUUAGAUACCCCUGUAGUCC
rnacentral:rRNA from 1 species